GACGAACGCUGGCGGCGUGCCUAAUACAUGCAAGUCGAACGCAGUGGGGACGGGUGAGUAACACGUGGGUAACCUCCCUUCAGAGGGGAUAACACUUGGAAACAGGUGCUAAACCGAUACUGAUGGAUGGACCCGCGGUGGAUUAGCUAGUUGGUGAGGUAACGGCUCACCAAGGCCACGAUGCAUAGCCGACCGGAGAGGGUGAUCUGACACAGUGGGACUGAGACACGGCCCAGACGCCUACGGAAGGGAGCAGUAGGGAAUCUUUGGCAAUGGACGAAAGUCGGACCGAUCAACGCCGCGUGAGUGAAGAAUGUUUUCGGACCUUAAAACUCUGUUGUUAGAGAAGCGGUAUCUAACCAGAAAGCCACGGCUAACUACGUGCCAGCCGCCGCGGUAAUUC
rnacentral:rRNA from 1 species